AGAAUGAACGCUGGCGGCGUGCCUAACACAUGCAAGUCGAACGAGAAAGCAGACUUCGGUCUGCAAGUAAAGUGGCAUACGGGUGAGUAACACGUGGGUAAUCUGCCCGAAGGUGGGGGACAACUCUUCGAAAGGAGAGCUAAUACCGCAUAAUAUCCCGAGGACCUCGGUUCAUGGGAUCAAAGUUUGCCUCUGUUUCAUGCAAACGCCAUCGGAGGAACCCGCGCCCCAUUAGCUUGAUGGUGAGGUAACGGCUCACCAUGGCUUCGAUGGGUAGCCGGCCUGAGAGGGUGAUCGGCCACACUGGAACUGAGACACGGUCCAGACUCCUACGGGAGGCAGCAGUGAGGAAUUUUGCGCAAUGGGGGAAACCCUGACGCAGCGACGCCGCGUGGAGGACGAAGGCCUUCGGGUCGUAAACUCCUGUCAAGAGGGACGAAUCCCUAUCGGAUGAAUAAGCCGGUAGGUUGACGGUACCUCUGAAGGAAGCCCCGGCUAACUCCGUGCCAGCAGCCGCGGUAAUACGGAGGGGGCAAGCGUUGUUCGGAAUUAUUGGGCGUAAAGGGCACGCAGGCGGCUAGGCAAGUUGGUGGUGAAAGCCCUCGGCUCAACCGAGGAAUUGCCCCCAAAACUGCUUGGCUUGAGUCCCGGAGAGGGUGACGGAAUUCCCAGUGUAGCGGUGAAAUGCGUAGAUACUGGGAGGAACACCAGUGGCGAAGGCGGUCACCUGGACGGGUACUGACGCUCAUGUGCGAAAGCGUGGGGAGCAAACAGGAUUAGAUACCCUGGUAGUCCACGCUGUAAACGUUGAACACUUGGUGUUGCGGGUAUCGACCCCUGCAGUGCCGUAGCUAACGCGUUAAGUGUUCCGCCUGGGGAGUACGGUCGCAAGGCUG
rnacentral:rRNA from 1 species